GCCCCAAUUCAUUCUGCUAAGAUCUCAAGGUAAGGCUGAGCUUCAAUGAUUUCAUUCCAUUUGAUUAGCACCUGCAUUAAAACAAGAAUCAUUCAUUUCCUCUUUGCCAGGAACCUUAAGUUCAGUUACUCCAGUUCAACAAACAACAAUAUUUAACCAACAACACAUUUCAAGGUCAAGCACGAGAUUAAUAAUCAGUCAAGGAACUACUGUACCACAGAAAGUUUAUAUCAGGUUGAGCAGCUGCCGAUGGUGAUGAAGUGACGAGCGGGAUUCUUUUGUCUUAUUAUGUAUUAAUGAAC